rnacentral:tRNA from 1 species
GGGCCUUUGGUGAAAUCCGGCAUCACGUUGCCAUGGCAUGGCAGAAUUCCGAGUUCAAAUCUCGGUAGGUCCA